CAUUAUCUUGAUCUUAAUCACCCGCCUUCAUCUUUAUUAUCCUUGUUCUUUAUAUCCAAGAUCAACCCUCCACCAAGCCAAGAAAAUUUACCCAUAAAUUAUCCAUUCCCAGGACAACAACAACCAAUCCACAAGAAAUUAAGCAAACUCCACGACGUGCAGACAAUCUAGAAAAAAUAUGAAAAUUAAGCAAAUUCCAAACAUUUGCAACAAUGUGACAAAUUAGAAAACGUUAGCAGCUCUACGACGUUGAUAAUUUGCAACAAUUUCAUUGCUCUCAAGCUCUGGUAUUCCACAAAAAUUAAACUCCCAAAUCCAGAAAAAUCAGAAUAAGAACAAAGUAGGUUGAUGAGAAGCUUAUGGUCAUCUUCGUUCCCUCCAUCUUUACGAGAAGCUAC
rnacentral:lncRNA from 1 species